AUGUCUGUCUCCUCCACUAGACUGUAGUUCCCUGAUACACACUCUUCUUGCUCAUGUCGCUAGCAUCAGCACCAAGGACAGUUCCAGGCACAUCCCUCACUCCACACUCAUUUAAUGAAUCAAUGUGAAUAAACCUGUUAUACGUUAUGUCAUUGAUAUAAAUGCAUAAAUUGUCUAUAUUUAUUUUUUCACAGAGCAUGGAUGUGGUCAUUUUUAAAUAAAUCAUAUAACUCUUUUAUGAAGUGCCACAUUAAAAAUCGCUUUUCAGAAAUGCUUAGCAAUGUGGGACCCCAGCUGAUUUCACACUGAAGUUAUUGUUGCCUAGGAGAGGACACAAUGAUGAGGACUUCCAGCACUACGUUGAAUAGCAGUGUUAAGACUGGGCAUCCUUGCCUUGUUCUGGACCUUGGCAGAAAAGCUUUAGUUUUCUUCACUGAUUAUGAUGCUAGAGGUUGUCUCUUUACGGAUUGUUUUCUUUGCUGCACAGAAGCUUUUCAGUUGGAUGUCAUUUCAUUUGUUUAUUUUUGUUGCCUAUGCUCAAGAAGUCACCAUCCAGACCAAUGUCAAGAAGAUUUUCUUUUGUUUUCUUCUAGGAAUUUUAGAGUUCAAGGUAUUUAAUUUAUUUUGAGUGAUUUUUGUAUAGGGUAUAAGAUAGGGUCCAAAUUUAUUUUUAUGAUUAGGAUAUCCAGUUUUCCCAAUACCAUUUGUUAAAGAGAUUUUCUUUUCCCCCACUGUAUAUUCCUGGCACUUUUGUCAAAGAUUAAUUGGUUGUAAAUGCAUGGCUUUAUUUCUGGGCUCUCUAUUCUGUUCCAGAUCUGUACGUAUGCUUUUAUGACAGUACUAUGCUGUUUUGGUUACCAUAACUUUGUAGUGUAUUUUGUGUGAUGCCUCCAGCUUUGUUCUUGCUCAAGAUUGUUUCGGCUAUGCAAGUGUUUUUGGGGUUCCAUAAAAAUUGCAGAAUUGUUUUCUAAAUUUUCAUUUAAAAAUACCAUUGAAACUUUGAUAGAGAUUGCAAUAAAUCUUCAGAAUGCUUUGGGUAAUAUGCACAUUUUAACAUUAUUAAGUCUUCCAAUUCAUGAAUAUGGGCUAUCUUUCUGUUAUUUCAUCAACGUUUUAUUGUUUUCAGUGUAAUCACCUUUUAUCUCAGUUAAAUUUCUUUCUAAGUAUUGCUAAUGCUAUUAUAAACGGGAUUGUUUUCUUCAUUCUUUUUUUUUGACAGUUUGUUGUUAAUGUAUAG
rnacentral:lncRNA from 1 species